UCCGAUUAGCUAGUUGGCAGGGGUAAUGGCCCACCAAGGACUUACGAUCGGUAGACCGGACUGAGAGGGCGGAAGGACACACUGAACACAUGACAUACAGGGUCAGACUCCUACGGGAGGCAGCA
rnacentral:rRNA from 1 species